AGGUAGCAUAAUCAAUAGUUUCUUAAUUAGAAGCUGGAAUGAAUGGAUAAACGAAAAAUUAACUAUCUUUUUUUAAAUAAUAGAAUUUUAUAUUUAAGUUAAAAAGCUUAAAUUUUAUUAAAAGACGAGAAGACCCUAUAGAGUUUCAUAUAUUUUAAAUUUUAUUAUAAAAAUUUAAUUUAAAAUAUAUUUUAUUGGGGUGAUAGAAAAAUUUAAUUAACUUUUAUUUAAUUUUAACAAUUAUAAUUGAUUUAAUGAUCCAUUAUUAUGAUUAUAAGAUUAAAUUACCUUAGGGAUAACAGCGUA
rnacentral:rRNA from 1 species